rnacentral:rRNA from 1 species
GACGAACGCUGGCGGCGUGCCUAAUACAUGCAAGUAGAACGCUGAAGAGAGGAGCUUGCUCUUCUUGGAUGAGUUGCGAACGGGUGAGUAACGCGUAGGUAACCUGCCUGGUAGCGGGGGAUAACUAUUGGAAACGAUAGCUAAUACCGCAUAAAAUGGAUUAUCGCAUGAUAAUCCAUUGAAAGGUGCAAAUGCAUCACUACCAGAUGGACCUGCGUUGUAUUAGCUAGUUGGUGGGGUAACGGCUCACCAAGGCGACGAUACAUAGCCGACCUGAGAGGGUGGUCGGCCACACUGGGACUGAGACCAGGCCCAGACUCCUAAGGGAGGAAGCAGUAGGGAAUCUUCGGCAAUGGACGGAAGUCUGACCGAGCAAAGCCGCGUGAGUGAAGAAGGUUUUCGGAUCGUAAAGCUCUGUUGUAAGAGAAGAAAGAGUGUGAGAGUGGAAAGUUCACACUGUGACGGUAUCUUACCAGAAAGGGACGGCUAACUACGUG